AUGGCGGCGCAGGUUCAGGCGUCGGCAGCGCCAGCGGCUGGCGCGACGGAGGGCGGCGCGUCUCCGGCGGCUGGGGCUGCGGCAGCAGCCGCACCAGCAACUGCUGCGGCUUUCCCGGCGACGUCCCUGUACGUGGGGGAUCUGGACGUGAGUGUGCAGGACGCGCAGCUCUUUGACGUCUUCAGCCAGGUCGGCUCGGUGGUGUCUGUGCGCGUGUGCCGGGACGUCAACACCAGGAUGUCCCUAGGCUACGCGUACGUCAACUUCAGCAGCCCUGCCGAUGCUGCAAGGGCAUUGGAAAUGCUGAACUUCACUCCUGUUAAUGGGAAGCCUAUAAGGAUAAUGUAUUCUAACCGUGACCCCAGCUCACGUAAAAGUGGUGCUGCAAAUAUAUUUAUCAAGAAUCUUGACAAGUCAAUAGAUAACAAAGCGCUCUAUGACACAUUUUCUGCCUUUGGAAACAUUCUUUCAUGCAAAGUUGCUACAGAAAUAUCUGGAGAAUCCAAGGGUUAUGGUUUUGUUCAGUAUGAGCAGGACGAAUCAGCACAGAAUGCCAUCAAUGAGCUCAAUGGGAUGCUUUUGAAUGACAAAAAGGUUUAUGUUGGGCCUUUUGUUCGUAAACAGGAAAGGGAAAAUGUUUUUGGCAGUCCCAAGUUCAAUAAUGUCUAUGUAAAGAAUCUAUCAGAAUCUACCACCGAAGAUAAUCUGAGAGAAUUGUUUGGUAAUUUUGGACCUAUAACUAGUGUUAUUGUAGUGCGAGCCGAUGAUGGUAAAUCCAGAUGCUUUGGAUUCGUGAACUUUGAAAAUCCGGAUGAUGCUGCACGUGCUGUUGAGGAUUUGAAUGGCAAGAAAUUUGAUGAUAAGGAAUUAUAUGUUGGUAGAGCUCAGAAGAAGUCUGAAAGGGAGAUGCAAUUGAAGGAAAAUUUUGAGAAAAGCAAUAAAGAGACAGCUGACAGGAACCAAGGCACUAACUUGUAUUUGAAAAACUUGGAUAGUAGUGUUGAUGACGAUGAGAAAUUAAAAGAACUUUUUGCCGAAUUUGGCACUAUAACUUCUUGCAAGGUUAUGCGGGAUUUGAAUGGGGUAAACAAAGGAUCUGGUUUUGUUGCAUUUAAAUCUUCCGAAGAUGCUUCACGAGCUCUUGUGGCAAUGAAUGGUAAAAUGGUUGGCGGUAAGCCUCUUUACGUAGCACUUGCGCAACGCAAGGAAGAAAGAAGAGCCAGGCUGCAGGUGCAGUUUUCACAAAUGCGUCCUGUGAUGCCACCGCCCGUUGCUCCGCGCAUGCCCAUGUACCCCCCUGGUGUUCCUGGAAUGGGCCAACAGCUAUUCUAUGGCCAACCACCUCCAGCUUUUGUUAACCCACAGCCUGGAUUUGGUUUCCAGCAACAUAUGAUUCCUGGAAUGAGACCUGGUGUUGCUCCAAUGCCAAAUUUCGUCAUGCCAAUGGUGCAGCAAGGUCAGCAACCACAACGCCCAUCUGGAAGGCGCGCAGGUGCUGGUGGAAUGCAACAGCCAAUGCCAAUGGGUCAUCAGCAGAUGGUUCCGAGGGGUGGCCGUGGUGGUUACCGUUAUGCGUCUGGCCGUGGCAUGCCUGAUGCUGCAUUCCGUGGUGUUGGAGCUAUGGGGCCAUCGCUGUAUGAGAUGGGAAGGAUGACUCCUGGUGACACUGGAGCACCGCAGCAAGUUUCUAGUGGAGCAUUAGCAUCUGCACUUGCUAACUCUCCGCCGGAGCAGCAACGAUUGAUGCUUGGUGAAAGCUUGUAUCCACUUGUUGAUCAGCUGGAGCAUGACCAGGCUGCCAAGGUUACCGGUAUGCUUCUGGAGAUGGACCAGACUGAGGUUCUUCAUCUAAUUGAGUCACCUGAUGCUCUGAAGUCUAAGGUCGCUGAAGCUAUGGAGGUUCUCCGCAGUGCUCAGCAGCAGCAGACCAAUGUUCCAGCUGAUCAGCUGGCUGCUCUUUCGCUGAGCGAUGGCUUUGUUGCUUCUUAG
rnacentral:rRNA from 1 species